rnacentral:lncRNA from 1 species
CUAAAAGACGCGUUAGAAUCGGACGUAAAGGUCACCCCAUAGAACAAUCGUUGCUAAAUGACGCUGACAUAGACUACCAGUGACGCCAUUUGCUCUCAAUUUCUACCAUGUAAUAUUUUUAAGAAUUUUAAAUACUUUAAGUAGGCCUAAACCGUUCUAGUGGAUGAUUAAGCGAUGCUGAAAAUUUUACUAGACUAAUUCAAUUGGUAUACUGAGGUACUUAGCAGUAUAAUAUUAUUGAAAAUGAUGCCUUCUAGAGCAGGGUUUCUCAAGCUUUUGCAACUAAAGGGACACUUGUGAUUCUCAAAACAUUCACGAGGUACACUUUUCCAAAACAACUAGUUAAAAGCUUUAUGUAAGAAAUAACGUAAGAUGCAGGCUUGUCUUGUGUCACUGUGAGCUGUAAAGACGAAAAUACAUAGUCUGGUUAACCUCAGUGAGACACAUUAACUUGCCUCCCUGUGAUAAUUUUAUUCUUAGUGAGAUGGGCGAGAGGCUGAAACGCAGAGUUGAAUUCAAAGUUACUUUCAGUUUGUUCCUCGCCUUUGAUUUUGUGAUAGUCAAUAUGGAAAGGAAAAUUCUGACUCACAUGAAUAGUGGUUGUAAGAACCAACAUUAAUUUGAUUGCAGGUUUCAUUGACUGGUAACUAGUAUCCAGAAUGAAGCAAGGUCUAAUUGGGUGGGCUAAAGCUUUAAGCUGCUGAUCAUUUUAUUAGUUUAUCUAAGGUACUAUCCUAUACAAGACACGUGUCCGCUCGUAUUUUAGCCUCCUUCAAUAGACUUUCGUUUCGCAGCAGUUGGAAUAUUACCCGCUUUAGGCUUUAUCUGUUCACUUUGCUAAAAGAAGGUGUUCUAAAAUUAGUAGGUUUAAUCCCAAAUAAUAUUAAUCAGCACAAUUUUAACUCCCCCCUUAUUUUGAAAUGGUGUUUUUCUGAUUUAUUUUAGCUCCAGCAUCAUAAAAGUUUUUUUUUUUUUGACAAAAAUUAUUUUACAAAAUCUACAUGAUUUAGUCCUAUUUUUCGCCUUGACGGAUCUUUCAUAUAAGAAAAAAACAUCAAAUAAAGUUUGUAGGCCCACAUAUUUCCAGAUUCAAAAAAUAUUUUAAUGAUUUUGGUAGGUUGUUCUGAAUUGUAGGAAAUAUUUUGUACGUACUAAAAAAAUAACAUAAAACGGAACUUUUCAUGUGGAAGUCCAAUAAAUUCUUUAUUUUUGCUCACAAUGACAAAAAUGAUAGUUUGUUGUAAAGUGAAGACAUACAACUUCAUAAUAAUAAAAAAAGAGUAACUUAAAAAAUCAAUAUUCAAAAAUAUAUGUAAAAUUUGUUGCUUGAAAUAAUAUUUUUGUAUAUUUAUUAAGCUAUGAAGGCUUAUAAAUAGUGUAUAAAAUGGUGCUCUUUGUAGUUCACGAAAACGUAAACUUUGGGGGUUAAAUGUUAUUUUCAUGUGUCUUAAGGAAAACGAAAUCAGAAAUCUUAAUCCAAGGGCAAAAAUUUGCAACUGGUAUAAUAGUGACAUGCCUGGACUUUAGAGUAGACUGAUUUCAAGUUGAUGACUGAUGCAAUCCUGUCUAUAAUUUUAUGUAAAAGAUCAAAAAAUGGUUUCUUAUAUAUUAUUGGUUAUCUAAUUAAUUCGCCGUGGCUUUAAAAAAGUUUGAGAAAAACACUUGUAGUGAAUAGUUCCACAUCAUGGAUUUCAAUAUAUAUAUUUAGAAGAAAGGGUUGUAUAUUUGUUCCAUAAAUGUUCAGAAACUCAAAAUACUUAGAAACAAGGUAUAUCAGAUACUCUUUUUUCAUGAAAAAAGACGGGGAAACACUCCCAAUUUUGUGACGUAUUAUGUAUAAAUCUUAGUAAUGUAAGCGUAGAUUCAAAUUUUUCGUCAAAUUGAUAAAAUUUUAUAAAACAUAAGGUCAUCUAAAACAAUUUCAAAACAUUUUCUCAAAAAAACUAUAGUGAUUGUCAGGCUUUAAAACACAUAUUUUCUCAACAAGUGUUUGUUUUUUCUUUUCUAAAGUUAGUUAAUAAUUUUUCAUUUUCAAAAUACUUGAAUAAAAACGUCACUUAAGUAAAAAAAAAAAAUAAAUCUUGGUUAGUUACGGCCCUAUGAGGGACCUGAUAAUGAUAAGAAUUAUAUGACUCUUGCAAAUGUAAAAAAGUUAACAUUAUAAACGAAAAAUGGUUAUGCAGUAAGUCAUCUUCUGCUCUUCAAAUGGCCCUUCAAAUUGGAUUGGAAGUUAUGUGCUUAGGACGUGGAUUCUAGAAGGAACAAAUAAGAUACUACGGUUGGAUCUAUCAACUUAAAACAUUAUUGGAUCGUUAUUACCUUCUACGCAAAAGAAAAUAUCCAAUAUCAAUGGGUGUCAAUAAUAGGAAAGAGUAAAGUGUAGCGUUGUGUCGGUACCAGUCUAUUCUGAGGACUGUUGGUUCUUGAAUUAUUCCUUAAAGGUCGAUAGGUGCAAGGUUAAUAAAAAUAAAAGGUUAUACCAUUACGCUUUUCAUACUGAUGAUGGUUUGACUUCCACCACGCUUUUUAAUGGUGACGUCAAAGAGUAUAACUCUUACCAAGAGUAGCUUUAUUUUGUCUUUCUCGACUGUGACUGCUAGAGUAGCUCUGUUAUACUCUAUGACGUCAAAAUAUAUCUGUUUUGCCCGGCAGUCGGUACGGUACACUAAAUUGAAAAUUCUAGCAAGUUCAAUUACAUGAUGACAUAACCUUCUGUUCCUAUUAACCUUGGAUAGAUGGAACAGCGUAUUAAGUCAAAGAAGAGAUGUAUAAAUAAUAUUGCACAUAUGUGGCCCUUCAACACAAAAAAAAGCUUGAAUGCUUUUUCUCAGCAAUCCUUAAGAAACUAUUCAAAUUGCACAUAAAUUAACAAAAAAACAUCAUUACAAUGAAAUAAUUAUAAAUUGAUAGAUUUUAUUACAAAGGGGGCAUAAUAUCAGGUCCACAAUUUGGGCAUUUCUCCUUUUCUUGAUAUUUGUUCCAAGAUUGUUUUUGUGUUUACUUCCCACAUAUCCUGUAAAAUAUGUUUUAUUAUUAAGUAUAUUAUUGGGACUGGACCGCAGUUCUCAUGUUUAAAUACUA